GGUUCCAUAGUGCAGCAGUUAGCGCAUCUGCUUUACAUACAGAAGGUCCCGGGUUAGCGCCCCAGUGGAGCCA
rnacentral:tRNA from 1 species